rnacentral:rRNA from 1 species
UUGCUCUUCUGGAUGAGUUGCGAACGGGUGAGUAACGCGUAGGUAACCUGCCUGGUAGCGGGGGAUAACUAUUGGAAACGAUAGCUAAUACCGCAUAAUAGCAGUUGUUGCAUGACAACUGUUUGAAAGGUGCAAUUGCACCACUACCAGAUGGACCUGCGUUGUAUUAGCUAGUUGGUGGGGUAACGGCUCACCAAGGCGACGAUACAUAGCCGACCUGAGAGGGUGAUCGGCCACACUGGGACUGAGACACGGCCCAGACUCCUACGGGAGGCAGCAGUAGGGAAUCUUCGGCAAUGGACGGAAGUCUGACCGAGCAACGCCGCGUGAGUGAAGAAGGUUUUCGGAUCGUAAAGCUCUGUUGUAAGAGAAGAACGAGUGUGAGAGUGGAAAGUUCACACUGUGACGGUAUCUUACCAGAAAGGGACGGCUAACUACGUGCCAGCAGCCGCGGUAAUACGUAGGUCCCGAGCGUUGUCCGGAUUUAUUGGGCGUAAAGCGAGCGCAGGCGGUUAGAUAAGUCUGAAGUUAAAGGCUGUGGCUUAACCAUAGUACGCUUUGGAAACUGUUUAACUUGAGUGCAAGAGGGGAGAGUGGAAUUCCAUGGGUUAGCGG